GCUCAGGACCACUGGAGCGGGGCCUUCUGCACAGUGCCUGGUUACCUACCUCCCGGGCUCCUUCAUACCUGCUCCAGAUGGCCCAGCAUGUGGUGAUUGAGGCUAGACUUGGUAGAGAAAGUAUUGACAGGCUGUGAGCAUGUUGAGAUGGGUGGAGCAGUGACGGGCUCAGUACAGUGGAAUCGUGAGCUGUGAGUGUGUGAGUAGGGUGGAGUAGUGAGGGGCUGUGAGCCUGAAUAGGUUGGAAUCAUGGUGGGCUGUGAGUGUGUGAGUAGAAUAGGGGACGGUUUCCCUCUGCCUCUCCAGGGGGCUGUGACUAUUUUAUACCAAAGGGAUUCAUUCCUGGGGCAACCCAGCACACAUGGUGUUCCCAAAAAUGUUUCUAUUUUGAAUUGAUUUGUACUGUUGAGACUUUUCUCUACCACUCUCCCCGUGGUAGUUCUCUGCCUUUACUUUGUACCCACCAGCCAGCCAGGCCUACAAUCACGAGAACAAUCACACGUGACUACAGAGCACACCGUGGGUAGAAGCUUUUGACACUGCCCUUUAGGAAACUUUUGUAUAGGGCUAUCUUGGUGUGGAGCAGGCCAGGGGACGGCUAACCAGAUAACGUCUCGUAAAUGUUUUCUGCCGUUCACAACCGACCCUUGGCAACCCUUGAGUUGAACUGUUUUAUUUUUAGAAAGGUAAAAAAAGAAUGUUUGGAUUUUUUUUUUGGUAGCAAUGGAAAAGCCAUCAUAACUAGUUUGUAAAAAAUGUUUCCCAAGGAAUUCAUUCACGUGUGGAACAAUCUGAUCUGUGUUUGGCUUCUCUGUCCCGUGACCCCGUGUCCCGGCAGUCUCUCCACUUGGACUCUUCUUAGAGCUUUGCAGUUUCUCUAGGCGUGCAUCUCGGCUUCCCUAGAGGACUUAGCCAGCUUUCUGUGUGAGCCGCCUGAUACUGUGAGGUGGCCAAGCAAGGUUCAGUCCCAGCUCUGUCGCCAAAUAAGACCCUACACAGAAGCCGCACUAUAGAUGUUGGUCCUACAAGCAAGUGGAAACUGUUCAUAAUGGUUACGGAUCAAGCAAAACCCUGUAUGGUUUGGUGAGGCGUCAGGGUUAGGUGGACCUUUCAAAGCCACAAAGCCACUUCUGGUCAGAAGUUCAGUUCCUUUAAAUCAGUCCUCAUUGUGUCUCGGGGCCGCUGCCCCAGGUGACUCUGGGCACGGCUGUCCCUCAGGGUCGUUCCCCUUCUCCCCACCCCACCCCCUGUCCCAGCCGUGUGUCUCUUGAAAACUUGCUCUGUGUUCCUGUAGUGAUGUGCCGGACAAGCAUUUGUGGAUGGGAAAUAAAAGUUCCGCUUCUCUCCUU